rnacentral:tRNA from 1 species
CCUGGUGGCUCAGAGGUUAAAGCAUCUGCCUGCAAUGCAGAAGACUCGGGUUUGAUCCCUGAGUCAGGA